ACACUUGCCCUGGGAGGGAGACAGCAUGAUCAUGACUGUGUUCCUCCCAGGGUCAGUCUUAUCCAUUGGGUUCUAGAUGUGCUGAUCCCUGCAGGUUCCUCAGUAGUGGAAUAUUGGAUUGUAACCUGUGAUUGUGAAUACUGGUUUUGUGCUCCUCCCUG
rnacentral:snRNA from 7 species